ensembl:snoRNA
CUGCAAGCCUCCAGCGUGCUUGGGUCUGGGGUGACCCUGUGCAUUCCUACAGUGCUUGCGAGAGCAUCCUGAAACGGUUUGAGGCCUUGCCCUGCUCCAUCCAAGGCAAGGUUAUAGAAAUUUCAGACAGGU